rnacentral:rRNA from 1 species
GUGUCAGCAGCGCGGUAAUACCGGCAGCCCGAGUGAUGGCCGAUCUUAUUGGGCCUAAAGCGUCCGUAGCUGGCUGAACAAGUCCGUUGGGAAAUCUGUCCGCUUAACGGGCAGGCGUCCAGCGGAAACUGUUCAGCUUGGGACCGGAAGACCUGAGGGGUACGUCUGGGGUAGGAGUGAAAUCCUGUAAUCCUGGACGGACCGCCGAUGGCGAAAGCACGUCGCGAGGACGGAUCCGACAGUGAGGGACGAAAGCCAGGGUCUCGGACCGGAUUAGAAACCCUAGUAGUCC